rnacentral:rRNA from 1 species
UAGAGACUGUCGGUGUGCCUAUACAUGCAAGUCGAGCGAACCGAUUAAGAGCUUGCUCUUAUGAAGUUAGCGGCGGACGGGUGAGUAACACGUGGGUAACCUGCCCAUAAGACUGGGAUAACUCCGGGAAACCGGGGCUAAUACCGGAUAACAUUUUGCACCGCAUGGUGCGAAAUUGAAAGGCGGCUUCGGCUGUCACUUAUGGAUGGACCCGCGUCGCAUUAGCUAGUUGGUGAGGUAACAGCUCACCAAGGCGACGAUGCGUAGCCGACCUGAGAGGGUGAUCGGCCACACUGGGACUGAGACACGGCCCAGACUCCUACGGGAGGCAGCAGUAGGGAAUCUUCCGCAAUGGACGAAAGUCUGACGGAGCAACGCCGCGUGAGUGAUGAAGGCUUUCGGGUCGUAAAACUCUGUUGUUAGGGAAGAACAAGUGUGAGUUGAAUAAGCUCACACCUUGACGGUACCUAACCAGAAAGCCACGGCUAACUACGUGCCAGCAGCCGCGGUAAUACGUAGGUGGCAAGCGUUAUCCGGAAUUAUUGGGCGUAAAGCGCGCGCAGGCGGUUUCUUAAGUCUGAUGUGAAAGCCCACGGCUCA